GAUGAACGCUGGCGGCAUGCCUAACACAUGCAAGUCGAACGGACAGAACAGGAGAGCUUUCCGGUGUGGAUAGCGACAGUCGGGGGCGUAAGGGGUAGAUACGCGUCGACAACCUCUCGGGUAAAUGCGAAUAACCUCGAGAAAUAGAAGCUAAUACGCCAUACUAACCUUGCCUCGCGUGCAGGAAGGCUUAAAGGCGUCCUUAACGCGGUGUCUGAACAGUUAGUCUGCGUGGUAAAGGCUCGACAAGGCGACGAAGCGUAGCCGGCCUGACGGGAAGGACGGCCAGACUGGAACUGAGACACGGCCCAAACUCCUACGGGAGGCAGCAGUGGGGAAUCUUACGCAAUGGGCGAAAGCCUGACCGAGCAAUACCGCGUGAGUGAAGAAGGCCUUCGGGUUGUAAAGCGCUGUACUUAUCAAAGAGAGAGAGCUGUUGUAAUCGACAAUAUUAUGACGGUACCUGAAGAAUAAGCCCCGGCUAACUACGUG
rnacentral:rRNA from 1 species